CCUACGGGAGGCAGCAGUGAGGAAUAGUGGUCAAUGGCCGGAAGGCUGAACCAGCCAAGCCGCGUGAAGGACGAAGGUGCCAAGCAUUGUAAACUUCUUUUGUCAAGGGACAAAAUCAGGCUCGAGAGCCUGACCGAGGGUACUUGAAGAAAAAGCAUCGGCUAACUCCGGGCCAGAAGCCGCGGUAAUACGGAGGAUGCGAGCGUUAUCCGGAUUGAUUGGGUUAAAGGGGUGCGUAGGCGGACUGUUAAGUCAGCGGUAAAAGCCCGGGGCUCAACCCCGGCGAGCCGUUGAAACUGGCUGUCUUGAGAUGUCGAGAGGUAUGCGGAAUGCGCAGUGUAGCGGUGAAAUGCUUAGAUAUUGCGCAGAACUCCGAUUGCGAAGGCAGCAUACCGGCGGCGAUCUGACGCUGAGAUACGAAAGCGUGGGUAUCGAACAGGAUUAGAUACCCCAGUAGUC
rnacentral:rRNA from 1 species